rnacentral:misc_RNA from 1 species
AUACUUGCCAAAUCAAAGCACUGGACAAAGAACGAAAAUCGACCAACUAUGUGAGUUUUCACGAGCAUAUUAGAGUGCACACAUCCUUUUUCCUUGCAUCUGAAAUGUUGGUAUAGGGGAAAACCCUGAAGUUGCCGUUACCAAGGCAAGUCAAAGUCAACUCUGUAUCACUUAACAUGAUCUCACAAUAAGUUGUCACAUCAUUGCAAUUCCACCUUUUGGAAGGAAUGCAGUCAAAAUAUCCGCACCACUGGCAAUACUGGCUUAUAUUAAUACCCUGGAG